rnacentral:rRNA from 1 species
UACGUAGGGUGCAAGCGUUGUCCGGAAUUAUUGGGCGUAAAGAGCUCGUAGGCGGUUUGUCGCGUCUGCUGUGAAAACGCGAGGCUCAACCUCGCGCCUGCAGUGGGUACGGGCAGACUGGAGUGCGGUAGGGGAGAUUGGAAUUCCUGGUGUAGCGGUGGAAUGCGCAGAUAUCAGGAGGAACACCGGUGGCGAAGGCGGGUCUCUGGGCAGUAACUGACGCUGAGGAGCGAAAGCGUGGGGAGCGAACAGG